GCCCCACUAGUCUGGGAUACCACUUGGAAACAGGUGCUAAUACCGGAUAAGAAAGCGGAUCGCAUGAUCAGCUUUUAAAAGGCGGCGUAAGCUGUCGCUAUGGGAUGGCCCCGCGGUGCAUUAGCUAGUUGGUAAGGUAAAGGCUUACCAAGGCGAUGAUGCAUAGCCGAGUUGAGAGACUGAUCGGCCACAUUGGGACUGAGACACGGCCCAAACUCCUACGGGAGGCAGCAGCU
rnacentral:rRNA from 1 species